rnacentral:lncRNA from 1 species
UGAUUGAUUUGUGUAUGUUGAACCAUCCUUGUAAAAUUGGGAUGAAUCCCACUUGAUCGUGGUAUAUGAUCUUUUUUUAUAUGUUGUUGUAUUUGGCUGGCUAAAAUUUUGUUGGGAACUUUUUGUGUCUAUAUUCAUCAAAGAUAUUGGCCUAUAAUUUUCUUUUUUGGUGUAUCCUUGCCUGGUUUUGAUAUUAGGAUGAUGGUGGCAUCAUAGAAUGUCUUUGGGAGUGUUCCUUUUCUUCAGCCUUUUGUAAAAUUUUAAGAAGGAUGGGUAUAAGUUCCUCUUUGUAUGUUUGGCAGAAUUUGCCUGAGAAUCCAUCUGGUCCUUUUAUUUCUUGUAGGGAGUAUUUUUAUGACAUACUCAAUUUCCUUUCUAGUGAUCAGUGUGUUCAAUUGAUCUAUUUCUUCUUAAUUCAGUUUUGGCAGGCUGUGUGUCUCUAUAAAGGAGUCCAUUUCUUCUAGGUUGUCAAAUUCCUUGGUAUAUAAUUGUUCAUAGUAUUCUUUUGUGUUUUUUUUUUUUAUAUUUCUGCAGUAUCCAUUGGGAUUUCUCCUUUUUAACUUCUUAUUUUGUUUGAGUUCUUUCUCUCAUCUUCUUGGUGAGUCUGGCCAGAGGUUUGUCAAUUUUGUUUACCCUUUAAAAGAACCAGCUCUUGGUUUUAUUAAUUUUUUUCUACUGUUUGGUGAAUCUCUCUUUUAUUGAUUUCCUCUCUGAUCUUUAUGAUUUCCUUCCUUCUUCUGACUUUAUUAUUUUUCUAAUUCUUCUAGGUGGUAGAUUUGAAAUAUUUGGGAUUUGACGAUCAUAUGGUAGUUCUCUAUUUAGUUUUCUGAGAGACCUCUGUAGUGUUCUCCAUAGUGGUUAUACCAGCUUACAUUCCCUCCAGCGGGGUAGGAGGGUUCCCCAUAUGUACAUCCUCUCCAGCGCUUACUGUAUGGAGACUUUUUAAUGAUGGCCAUUCUAAUUGGUGUGAGGUGAUACCUUAUUGUAGUUUUUAUUUGCAUUUCUCUAAUAAUUCAGUAACAUCUUUGCAUGUGUUUUUUGGCCAUAUGUACAAGGAAUAUUCUAAAAGCUUUAUUUCCAUUAUAUUAUUUAAUUUUCAGAAAACCCAAUAAAGUAGUUAUCUACUUAUCCCCAUUUUAUAGAGAGGGAUGCGGUGGUUCAUAAAAGCUAAAUCUGAUUGGGAGGUUCUCACAAUCAAUAAGUGACAGAGUGAGAUAUGCUACUGUUCUGUCCAGUGUCAGAGGUUUUUAGCCUAACUUCUACCCAGGCUCAAUGCUUUUUUAACCUGCCUGUGGAUGCUGAUAGCCUCUCCAGCUAGGUUAGAGAUCUAAAGGGUUAACCAUCUCAGUUUUAUAUAGAAUUUAUUAACAAAUUAUUAUAAAUGAAAAUUAAAGAAAUAGCAUCAGGAUAGAAGUACUUAUAUUUCAUUAUUGAUUUUUUUUCUUUCUCAAUGGUAAUAGUUAUUUAAAUAUUUACUUGUAAUUGAGAAGAUGAUGCCCUAACUUGAAUAUAAAGACAGAAUUUGUAAAUGUACUGGUUAUUGAUAUAAGUAAAUAAAAUGUAUGGCACUGAGUUCUCAGAGAGGUUAUUGCAUUGUAAAGUCCAUGAAGGCAGCAGCAGAACCGUCUAUGUUUGGUGCGUAGUACAUGCUCAGGAAGUGUUGGAAUGAAUUUGGAGCUUUAUGUCUCAGAAGAAAAAUGGGCAAGGUGGCCACCUAGUGGACUCUGAGUCAAUUUCAGCUCAAAAAAUAUUUGCAGUGUUUGAUUAAAGCUUAUUCAAAGUGAUAUGUAACACUAAUGGGUAAUUUAUUUAGGAAAUAUAAACCGGGUCAGACCAGUACUCAAGCUGAAUUCUGAGUUGCAAAAUCAGAAGACUGAGGGGCAUUUUAGUGGUUCAGAUGCAUUAGGAUGUUAGCAUAAAGAGAAUCUGAGGUUAAAUCUUCAAUUUCCUCUUUUUCGGCCCAUGGAAGGAUAGCAACUCAUUUUAGGGUCACAGGGGUGUGGUGACUUGUCACUGGGAUAAUUCCAUAUCCAGUGCUCAGAAUUUGAUAUCAUCCAAAAUUCCAAUUAGCAAUUAUAGAUUUGUAGCUACAAAAAAAGACAUGUGAUUAUUACUGAGUCCAAGCUCAUACUGCUUGCUGCAUAGCAGGCCAGAAAAUUAAGAGAUGAGCUGUUGGGGCAAGGAAUAGCAACUUUAUAUGGAAGGCCAGCAGAGCAGACCAAGAAGAUGAUAGACUGGGGUCCCAAAGAGCCUUCUCACCUAAGUUAGAAUUCAGACUUCUUUUUUAAUAAAAGGGGAAGGGGUGUGUCUGGUUGUUGCAAACUUCUCGGUGCAGGAAUGCUUUGUUCUUACACCUGUCCCUGUAGGUCUGGUUACAAUAUUCUUAUUAACCUCCAGCAAGAAAAUUUUUAUUUCCUAUUCUUCAACUUUUUAUCUCUAUAUGAAUGGAAAACUAUUACAUCUUUAAAGUUCAGGACUUUUAAAAUUGUUUAUCCUGUGUAUUUUGGGUUGCUAUCAACGUUCUUUUACAAAGGUGCAGAGCCUACAUGACUCAGCACAGACCUUGAAGUUUAGAGCUAAAGAAAUAGCUUCAAUAUGGGGUCAGGGUUGUUCUUAUCCAUAGACAUAAGUGACAUAUUUUCCCAGCUCUCUUGGAAACUUGUCUGUGUACACCAUGGAAGCACUACUUACUGACAUGGUAUUGAAACAUGUUAGUAUCUUACUGAUGGGUCAGAAGUAUCUUUCUCUUUCUGCCAUUUAGGGAUUUGCUAAGUACACACAUCUAAAGAGUAUAUUACAGGAUUCUGUUAUGGUUUUGUUGACUUUCUUUCUAUCCCUAUUCAGCUAUAAACUGUUGGCUCUUGUGUGCCUAUGUUUUUCAUAUAGAGAAGCUGGAGGGGAGAGGAAUGACAAAUAGGGUUCUACCACAUGUAAGUGUCAGUUUGGAUAUUUAAGAUACAGAGGAGUAUUGUAUCCCUGUUUUGAAUCACGGCUGUGCUCCUUCCAGGCUGUAUUUUAUGAAGUUGUUUUCUUGGUUUCUCCGUCUCUAGGGCAGAGGUGGUGAUAAUGUAUACUUCAGCUCAGAGUCCUCUUGAAGUUUAAGAGAGAAAAAAUAGUACACCAUUCUGUGGUCAUUCCUGAUCAGUUGAUCUCUCCGUCUCUCUCUACCCUACCCCCUCCCUGUGCAAAGAAAGUAUUAUCUCUCUUUUUUUUUUUUUGGCUGAAAGUUUUCCUUUUAAAAAUUGUUCUCCUUGCCUUUUCAUCUUCAAUUCCAAACCUGUCGAAUAGUUGAAAGAAUAUUUUAUACCCAAUACCUUUCUUCUAGGUUCACUAGUUAGUAUUUGAGAGUUGUGUACAUUCAUACCUUCCAGCCAUGAGUUCUGCAUACAUCAUCCAGACAUAAGGACCUUCUACAGGAUAACCAUAAUACCAUUAACCAUAACUGAAAAAGUUGUUAAUAAUUCUGUAAUAUUUUCUAAAAUUAUUUCUAUUCAAGUAUAUUUAAUUAUCCCAUGAAUGUUUUUACAUCACUAUUUUCCAAUGCAGGACCCAACCAAGGUUGGUGUAAUUGGUUAUUAUGUCUCUUUGAUGUCCUCUAAUCAAGGAUAGUACCCAUAAACUAAAUGUUUUUUUUUCCAUGAUGUUCAGUUUUUAAAGAUUUCAGAAGGCAGAUUUUAACUCUUGGUGAUGCUAAGUUUGAUCACUUAAGAUUACGUUGGUAACUCUAGGUAUUUUGUUGUAAAGGUAUAGUCUUCUGGUUAUAGUAUUUGUGGGGUGAUACUUCGAGCCUGUGUGAACAUUCUGUUUUCAGACAUAUUUUGACGUCAAAGUUUUAUGCACCCAUUGAUGAACUGUAGCUGAAUCUUUAUUACCGUGGAAAAGGAAAAAUUGCUAAUUGUCUUCUUUUUCCUACAUUGAUUAUCUGAUGUACUUUUAGAAGAAAGAAUUCCCCCUUUUCUCUCUUGGGUACAACCGUGGACUCACAUUUUUUUUUUAAUCCAAAGUAUUUUGAUCCAUUGCCACCAUUUUCCUUUUAUUAAAGCUCAAGAUGUUGCAAAUUAGGUCAACAAGAGCUGCUUCAAGCUGGCUCCUCUGUUCUCUCAUGUACUUGAUGGCCUCCUUACUUCCUGACACAAACCAUUCCAGGCUCAUCUUACACUUUCCUUAACCCAACCUGAAAUUAGCACUAAAAAGAACAGAGAAUGAUAUUCAGAAACUGAGAUCUGAACACUAGAUGAAGCAAUGAGGCACCAUGCGAAUGAGUUUAAAACCCUGGUAUUUAUAUAAGAUGUAGAGAAGAAUGCAGCCAACUUCAUGGACUUUGAAACACGGCCCCUCCUGCUGGUCAAAUCACCCUUGACUUAUGGUGAUUAUCAUUUCCUCAAAAAAUACCAGAAAAGUCUAAAUUUCCUCAGGACUACGAUGAUUCCCUAUAACAUGCAAAUCUUUGGAGCCCUAAACUUCUCAGUAUGCACCACACCUCUACACACCCCAAGUCUAUUCAUCUGAAACUCAACUAGAGAAGAAUCUCCUCGUAAGGUUAUGUGCUUCUUGGCCACUUUCAUUUCCUCACAGGCCUUAGUUUCUUGCUGGCUGUUAGCCAGCGUCCUUCCUCAGUUCCUUGCUGUGUGAACAUCUCCAAAAGGAAAUAUCAACACACGGCAGUUGCUUCUUCAAAGUCGGUAGAGAAGAGAGUUCUAGCAAGGGGUACCUUAUGAUGUGUAUGUCACCAAGAAAUUAACAUCUAAUCAUCUUUGUUGUAGUCUAAUAGGGAUAGAUGCAACUCAUAUUCAAGGGGAGGGGAUCACACAAGAGUGUGAGUAUCAGAAAGCGGAAAUUAUAGCAGCCCCCUUAGAGUCUGUCCACCACACUGUGUGGAUUUGAGAUGCUGCUGUGGCUAAUGAGAGGAUACACAGGUGGAGCACCAUAUCAGAUGGUUAUACAUCUAUAAAGAAAGUGAACAGAGCGAGAGGACGGAGAGUUGUUGGAGGGGACACCUUAUCUAGAGUCAUAAGAUGAGAUGUCUGAGGGGAGGGACGAUUGGCUGAGAGCUGAAUCAUGAAAAGGAUUAGUCCUGUCAAUGGGCAGAGGCGUGAGUGCAAAGACCCUGCAUUAGAAGUAACUUGGUCAUAGAAGGAGGCCAGUAAGCCUAGAAGAACCGCAAGAAUGGGUUUAGGGAAGUAGGCAGUUACCAGAUCAUUUAGGACGUGUGGGCCAUACCUUAAAGGUUGGAAUUUUAUUUAAUUACGAUUUUGAAACCAGUGGAGCAGGGUGAACCCGGAUAAUGAUUUAGUCUAUUUUCUGCUCUUACAGGAUUCAUUCUGACUCUUGUUUUCCGAAGUGGCUGAAGGGGGAAAAUGGAAGUGAGGGGACCGUUGUUGAGGUGGUGAGGAUUUACCCCUGGAUGAUGGUUGUAGACUUAAUGAGAAGUGGUUAGAUUUAGAGUACACGUUGGAGGCAGGGCCUGUGGGAUUUCCUAGUGGGGGACGUAAGUGACUGAGGGAAGCCACAACAUGAUCUACCCACUUGGGUGGCUGAUUCUGGAGGGACGAUGGAUGCAAAAAAUCAAUGUCUUGGAACAUCUUUUAAUAGACUUAAUGUUUUAGAGAAAAUUUUAAAUUCAUAGCAAAACUGAGCAGAGAGUAGAGAUAGAUCUUAUAUUAUACUACUCAAAUGCAUGCACGGUCUCCCUAACACCAACAUCUCACUGCAGUGGUAGAUUAGUAAUAAUCUAUAACAUGUUAUCAGCACCCAAAGCCCACAGUGUACAUGAGGGCUCACUCAUGGUAUUACAUAUUCUGUGGGUUUUGACAAAUAAAAUGACAUGUUACCCACCCUUAUCGUUCAUACAGAAUAGUUUCACUGCACUAAAAUCCUCUGUGCUCUGCCCUAUUCAUUCUUCCCUCCCCCCAGCCUUUGGCAACCACUGAGCUUUUACUGUCUCCAUAGUUCUGUCUUUUCCAGAAAGUCAUAUAGUUGGAAUCAGACAAUUUGUCGCCUCUUAAGAUUUUUUUUUUUUUUUAGUAAUACGUGUUUAAGGCCUUUCCAUGUCUCUUCAUGCCUUGAUGAUAUAUUUUCAAUGCUUAAUAGCAUUCAGUUGUCUGAAUGUUCUAGAGUGUGUUUAUCCAUCACCAACUGAUAGACAUCUUGGUGGCUUCCAGUUUUUGGCAGUUGUGAAUAAAACUUCCAUAAACAUCCAUGUGCUGGUUUUUGUGUAGACAUAAACUUCCAGCUCAUUUAGUUAAAAACCAUGGCACACAAUUCCUAGAUUGCAUGGUAAGAAUAUGUUUAGUUUUGUAAAAAUCUUGGGGUAUUUUUAAUUGUUUUAAAUUCCACAUAAAGUCCUCGUAAUUACCUCCUCUUUGUCAUAUAUAUGCCACCACAUCUAAUUGGUUGUGGGCUAGUGCCACUUAUAUAUCAAUCCUCUUUUCAUUGCCUUAUGAGUUUUUUUUUUAAUACUUUUUCUUUUUUGGUUCUCUAAGCUUAAUGCAGUGAUGUGAGUGCCAUCUAGUGGAUAUAAAGAAAAUGCUAUGAAAGAAAACGAACAACCACAAAAAGACCGAUUAAAAAUAACUAAAUCAAAAUCUUAUUCAAUCAUGCUAAGUAAGAAAAAUAUUUCAGAGAAUUCCCAUUGUGGGUCAGUGGGUUAUGAACCUGACUAGUAUCCUUGAGGAUGCAGGUCUGAUUCCUGGCCUGAGACAGUGUCUUAAGGAUCUGGUGUUGCCAUGAGCUACAAUGUAGGUUGCAGACUUGGCUCAGAUCUGGUGUUGCUUUGGCUGUGGCAUAGGCUGACAG